CUUUGGAGACAUGGAGAAACUGGGGCCCAGGGAGGGGGAGUGACCUGCCUAAAGGAUGUCCCUGGACAGCUGGAGGCAGUGUCUUCUCUGGUAACCAAGGAUAUAUGGACACAUAUUCAUUAUGCUUAAGGGGAACUUCCUGAGUACACCAUGAAUAGGAGAAAAGGACUUCCAGAAAUCAGGAGCUGAAAUAAGGAUGAUGAUGCUUGUGCUAACAUAGUAUAGUGGAAAGAAAACAUCCAGCAACUGGAAGACCUGAAAUGGAGUCCUGGCUUUGGUACUUACCAUGUGACUUUAGCUUAAUGAUUAUCUAAAAAAAAUAAAAUUAAGAGAUGAGAAAAAAGAAGGGGAGAAGGGGAGAGGGACAGGUGGAAUGGGAUAAAUUACCUGACAUAAAAGAAGCCUGAAGGAGAUUUUACA